UACGAAGGGGGCUAGCGUUGCUCGGAAUUACUGGGCGUAAAGGGCGCGUAGGCGGAUAUUUAAGUUGGGGGUGAAAUCCCAGAGCUCAACUCUGGAACUGCCUUUGAUACUGGGUAUCUUGAGUAUGGAAGAGGUGAGUGGAAUUCCGAGUGUAGAGGUGAAAUUCGUAGAUAUUCGGAGGAACACCAGUGGCGAAGGCGGCUCACUGGUCCAUUACUGACGCUGAGGUGCGAAAGCGUGGGGAGCAAACAGG
rnacentral:rRNA from 1 species